UUUCCGUAGGUGAACCUGCGGAAGGAUCAUUAUUGUAUAACCGAGGUGCGAGGGCUGUCGCUGACCCGAAAGGUCGUGCACGCCCGAGUGCCCUCACACACAUCCAACUCACCCCUAUGUGCACCACCGCGUGGGUCCCCCUUUGGCGUGUUCGGAGGGGGGCUUACGUUUUCACACAAACUUUGUAUGCAGUGUAGAAUGUAUUUUUUGUUUUUGCGAUCACGCAAUCAAUACAACUUUCAACAACGGAUCUCUUGGCUCUC
rnacentral:misc_RNA from 1 species